GAUGAAUUCAAAUGUUAUAGGGCAUUUAAUCUUAGAGUUUAAUAAAAUUCGAGAACGAUGGAUAAAAAUAGCAGUUGUUCGGAUGAAAUAAAAAAUCAAUUUAGAAGAACAAUUGGGAAAGAGUUCCUUACAAGAUAUUCAACACUCAGAUCAAUUUAGAAGGAUGACUGGCAAAGAGUUCCCAGUAAAAUAUUCAACACUCAGUUUGGAUAAAUUUAUUCUCUGUAUUCUUUUGCAUGAAAUUAAUAAAUUUGGGUGAAGCCAUCGAACAUUUUAAAAUAAAACGUCCAUGAUUAAAGAAGGAAUCAAAUAUUGUAGGCGAUUAAGUGUUAUGAAUUAAAAAUAAAAAAUCAAUUUAGAACGAUGACGGGGAAAAGUUCCCAGCAAGAUAUUCAACAAUCAGGUUAGAUACAUUUAUUCUCUCGAUUCCUUUGAAUGAGGUUCAUUUGUUUGGGUUAAAGAUGAAAUCAAAUACUGUCGGGGAUUAGAGUUUAUUAAAAUUCGGGAACGAUGUCCGUGGAUAAAUAGGGAUGCUAAAAAAAUUCCUAGUUCGAGAAUUACCUCCGAGGGCAUGUCUUCGGAUCAAUAAAGAAGGAUGACUGCGAAAGCAUUCCCAAUAUGAAAUUCAACACUCAGGUUGAAUAAAUUUAUUAUGUCUUUUCCUUUUAUGACUGCCGUUGAGAGAGAAAAUAAUUUAAUAUUUUUUUAUA